AUUGAACGCUGGCGGCAGGUCUAACACAUGCAAGUCGAGCGAGCGGCGGACGGGUGAGUAAUGUAUGGGGACUGCCCGAUAGAGGGGGAUAACUACUGGAACCGGUGGCUAAUACCGCAUCCUAUCGGAUAACCCAUAUGGGAUUAGCUAGUAGGUGGGGUAAAGGCUCACCUAGGCGACGAUCUCUAGCCGGUCUGAGAGGGUAAUCUGCCAAACUGGGACUGAUACACGGACCAUACUCCUACGGAGUCAUCAGUGUGGAAUAUUUAAUAAGGGGCGCAAGCCGGAUGCAGCCAUGCCGCUUGUAGGAAGAAGUCCUUAGGGUUGUAGAGUACAUUCAGCGGGGAGGCGUUACCCGAAGAAGAAGCACCGGCUAACUCCGUGCCAGCCGCCGCGGUAAUUC
rnacentral:rRNA from 1 species